rnacentral:tRNA from 1 species
GCCUCUAUAUAGCUCAGUUGGUUAGAGCGCUGCACCGGAAUCGCAGGGCCGUAGGUUCAAUUCCUACAAGAGGAC